rnacentral:rRNA from 1 species
UACAGAGGGGGCAAGCGUUGUUCGGAAUUACUGGGCGUAAAGGGCGCGUAGGCGGCCUGCUAAGUCGAACGUGAAAUCCCUGGGCUCAACCCAGGAACUGCGUCCGAUACUGGUUGGCUUGAAUCCGGGAGAGGGAUGUGGAAUUCCAGGUGUAGCGGUGAAAUGCGUAGAUAUCUGGAGGAACACCGGUGGCGAAGGCGACAUCCUGGACCGGUAUUGACGCUGAGGAGCGAAAGCGUGGGGAGCGAACAGG